AGUAGCGGCGCUGUCCUCGUGGUACAGCGUUCUAGCCCCGCCCACAGCUGGUGUGCCCCGCGCUUGAGGGACAGGCGGGGUCUGCCUCCGCCCCCUGCCGCAGCCGGUCUUGUCCGCGCGCCUGCUCGGCCGGCCGGCCGGCGGGCGGGCGGCCGGGGAUGGCGGCGGUUUUGGAGCUGCUGCUGCGAGAGGAGGUGGCGCCCGGUGCCGUGGUGCGGUGGCUCGACCACGGCUCCAGCCACCGCCCAGCCGAGGAGAACCAUGUCCAUGACAAGCUGGUGCCUCAUAGGUUGCUUCAGAAAGACUUUGUGCCUUUCCUGUUGAAUUUUUUAAGGGAACAGACUAGUCAGAUCUUGACCAAUGGGCCCUCUACCCCUGCUAAAACCCCAAAUUCUAAGACCCUCAGGAGCUUGGCUAACCAUGGGAACCAAAAGACAGGGUCAGAAAGGAAGAUAGGCAACUCAGCAGGGUCAUGCAGCAGCCGAAUGCAGCUCUUUCCCCAGAGGACCCCUGCUAGCUCCUGCACCCCAGAUGCUAGUUUUCCCUCUUCUGCUGCAUCAAGUGGCUCUUCUGCCUUUACUGGGUCAAGCUUGUCUGGCCCCAGCAGUGAUUUCCCCAGCACCAGCCCAAGCUUUGGUUGCAGCCCUGUGUUCAACCACAGUGAGAAACGUUCAUCUCAGAAGGCCAAUUUGGGCAGCUUCCUUAUGUCCGCACCAGAUGUCCAGCCAGUGAGGCGAGGUAGAAGAAAAGGCAACAGUUCUGCCAGUGCCAUUGGCCGGCAAGUGGCUCGGGACCUAGGGCGAAGCCUCACUGAAGAGGAGGAUGGGAAGGGUGACAGCACAUCGUUGAGUGGCGGGAGGAGGAAACGGAAUGAGGUGGGUCCUACCUCAGCCAAUUCCCCACCUGAUCAGCUGAACCUCAACAACUUGGAGGAGUUCCCACCCAUGAGUGCUGCUUCUGGCUUGACAAACAAAAGCAAGCCAUCAAGACGAAUCAACCCAACUCCAGUGAGUGCUGAGCGCUCCCACUCAAAACCUAAGAUGUGUUUCACUUCUACGCCAGUCAGCCAGUCUCCAGCUACUCGGUUUCCGUCUGGGACCAGUCUUGAGACCUUUGCUGCCAUCCAGGAAGGGAACGUUACCUCCAUAAGAGGGAGCAGCCUUCAAGAGGAGAGGGAGAUGCUGAAGAAAGAACGAUGCAAGUUGCUGCACCAAAUAUCUCCUGCAGGCCUGUGUCUGGAUCCCAGUACACCUACCAAGCCUAAUUACAGUUGGAGUGGAAGCCUCGCUACUGAUGGUCAGUUAGUGACCUCUGCAGAUCUCAGUAAAGUUUCCUGCAAGAAACAGCUGGAACAGCUGGCUCAGCUCUAUUCAUCUUGUAUAGCAGAAAACCUGGUUCCAAAUAUUUUCCUGGAGCUCUUCUUUGUCCUGCAGCUGCUAACAUCCAAGGGAACAACUUCUUCGGAAGAUGGUGAGAAUGACAUGGAAUUCCAUCAAGGAUGUAAAGAUGCAGUAGAGCGGCAGCAUUUUCGAAAUGUCCACAACUGUGUUUACUUUGCUGUGCAGGUCUUGGAUUGUCAGUUUGAAAUUAUUUCUCAUUUAGAGAAGGGGACAUUGAAACUUUUGGCUGAGAAUGAGCGGAUUGCAUCGUUUUCCCCUGGCUUGCAUGAGAGACUUAUGAAAGCUUAUGAGAGCAGCACAGCCAAGGUGUCCCUCCUGCUGCCUUCAUCUGUCCAGUCCGUUUCUUUCCAGCCAGAAACGGACAAUCGUUCUAACUUUCCAAGUGACAGGGCUUUUCAUAUAUUUAAGAAGCAAAGGGACAUCUUUUAUGAAUUGCUGCGUGAGUGGGAGGAUAACCAUGAAAAACCAGGCUGGGACUUUGAAAGAGUUCUGGGCAACAGGAUCAGAGCUAUGAUGAAUCACCUCACAGCAGCCUAUAAUCACAGCCACUUUGCCAGGCUCUUUCAGAAACAGCUUAUCCAGAUGUGUAAAGGUCCUAUUGGUGGUGGCACAAGUUGGGGAGAUACCCCAGACCAGGAUGUCCUUAAUAUGCUGGGUUCCGAUAACCUGAGCCGGCUGAAGAGGCUACAGGAGAGAUUUGUCGUUCCUCAGAGCAUCAGAGGGCCCUGCCCGCCCCCUGCCUUCCCAGGGUGCCAGCAGUUCUUCAGGGACUUCAUUCUCAGUGCAGGAAGCUACCAGUUCAACCAGCACCUGAUGGAUAGCCUCUGUCUAAAGAUACUUGAGCUGGAUGGCCUUACUUUGGUAGAGCAUGAACCUAGUGAUGGGGAGGCAGAUAUGGAUGAACAGGAUGAAAAAAAGCGUUUCACUGCGGCCCUGAUGACUCUCCGACUCCUUGCAAAGUUUCUAGGAUUUCUUGUUUUCCUGCCAUACCAAACAGUGGAACCACCAAGCAGAGACUUGCAGGAGUCUGCGGUGGCAUUAAGGAACCAAACCCUGCCUGUACUGGAUGUAUUGAAGCUCCUGAGACGAUCUAUCUUGAACCAACGUACUGUUCUUACCGUUCCUUGGGUUGUAGAGUUCCUCUCCCUUGUGGACCAUUUUGCUCCAUUCCUUGACUACUACGGGAGGGUAUUUUCCCUCCUGCUGCAGCUGUACAGGUGCCUGGUCCUUUCUGAAGAUAAGGAGAUGAGUUUCCUGAACAAGCUACUGAUACUUGCAGUGCUGGGCUGGCUUUUUCAGGUCCCCUCGGUCCCAGAGGAGUUGUUCUUCACCAGUGAAGUCAGACAGGAGGGGUUGAUGAGGGACACUAAGACAUCUGCUCAGGCUUUGGAUUCUGUGCCUUUGGUGGAUCAGCAGUUACUUUAUACCUGCUGUCCCUUCCUUGGUGAGCUACGGAAGCUGCUGGCUUCCUUUGUGGCUGGCAGUGGAGCAAAGAACGGUGGCUUUAUAAGGAAAAUAACCCCAACUGCUGCAGAGUCCUUGGCACCUAAACCUUCUAUCACACAGCAGAAAUUGCAGGUGGAGCUGGAGCAGGCCUUCUUCCACAACCAGCCUCCAUCCCUGCGGAGGACAGUGGAAUUUGUGGCAGAGAGGGUGGGAUCCAACUGUGUUAAGCACAUCAAGGCAACACUGGUAGCAGAGCUGGUCAAAAGGGCAGAGGUCAUGCUGCAGGAUAAGGUAAAGGAAGAAGAUGCUAAUCAUAGCAAACUGCUGGACGAGGUGUGUGCGCAGCUAUAUGACGAAGGGGCGCAGGCUCUCCACAAAGGCAGAGAAUUUUGCAGGUUGAAAGGGCCUGAGGCUGUGAGAGUGCUGCUGUCAGAAGAGACAUCAGCAGCAGUUUUGAGCAGUGCAGAAGACAUUGCAGUGGGACUGGCUACUGAGAAGGCCUGCACCUGGCUGGCAACCAACAUCACAGCACUGAUCAAAAGAGAAGUGAGAACUACCUUUAAUCGAAUGUUGAGAGUCCAGGGGCCUUCCUUGCCCAGUGAGGAUGCACAGGGGGAGAGGAAAGGUUGUACCCCCGACUGCCAGCACCAUGCUCCGUUCCCCUCUCAGAUCAUCAAUGAGAUCAAAGACGUGCUCUGUAUUGCUGUGGGACCCAGGGAUGAAGAUGAAGGAAUUCCCUAUGUCCAGCUGGAGUGCUUGCUGAAAAGACUGAGCCAAACACUUCAGUGCAGAAAGUUCAUGUGUCCCACCUCGGAGCAGCAGCUGGCUAGGUGCACUGUAGAGUUGGCAUCUCUCCUAGUUUCAGAUCGUGUUCCUAUCCAGGGCCUUAAGCCUCAGAUCCAGAAGAAACCUGAAAGACAGCAAGGGAAGAAGAAUGCUGUCUACGGCCUUCUGAAAUCGCUGCUGUCAGUUUGGAAGGAAGACUUUGGGACAUCUGUUCCCGUUCAGCUGAUGUUCAGCAGGAAGAAUGUCGGCUACAUCGCAGAAGUCAAGCAACGUGAGUGGGAUUUGUUCCUGUUUAUGCUUAAUGGUCUUGUUGGUCAUGGUCUCAUGGCAAAUGCAGAGAUAGAGAACUGCUUGCAUAGCCUCCAAGAACUUCUCUGGUCCUCAGUAAGUAUUUGUUUCAUUUAAUAUUCAGGCAUGAAUAUGAGAAUGCUGUGUCAGUUUGGCUUUUAGCUUUAAUUUUUUUGUACCCCUCUCUCAAAGACCUAGGCCCAGAUUCUUGUCUAUGCAGAGUUUCUGCUUGGUGCAUUAUAAAGUGUGUGUGUGUGUGGGGCUGUCUUAGGCUGGAUCUGUGCCUGCCCUGCUCCAGUAUAGAUUAGAAAACCUGCCACUAUACCAGCUGACAAUGGUCUCCAAGAAACCAUAAACUAGCUGGAGAUAGCUGGAGAUAGCUGAAGUGCAGCACACCUGGCUGGGCUCACAGGGGGCUGGGUAUGUUGGCUUUGCUCCAGCUCAGAACUUCUCUGUCAGGGGAAAUUCUCAGCUGGCAAGAUCCAGCUGCUUUUCAGCCUCUUUGCCAUCACCAUAAUGUACCAGAGAAUCUAGCCUGCUGGCUAGAUGUUUCAAAUGUGGGAGCUUCAAGUUAGUCUUCUGCCUAAAUGUGGUCUGAUUUUUUUUGAUGUGCUCAGCACCCAUAAAUCCCACUGCGGUUAAUGGAAACUGCAGGUGCUCAGUACCUUUAAGAAUCAGGCAGUGAUUUUUAGGUGCCGAUAUCAGGUUAGUAUAUAAACUAAGAUGGUCAAAGGGAAGGCUUGGUGUGCAAAUCAAUGAUCUUAUCACUUCAGCAGCUGUGGUCUCUUUCACUCUGCUUUAACUGUUUUUACUGGUAUAGCCUGUGUCAUAUUAAUAUCCCAACGCAAAACUUUGACCCCAUUUUUGCUUAUGAAAUCUCAACUUUAUAUUAUUCAAAAGAAGUUUGACCAUCUUUUAAAAGUGUGAACCAAGGGAUACACUGAUUUGCAUUGUUUGUUGCAGGAUUUCUUGGAAGAAUUGGAAACUAUCUCUAGAAUAUUUAUAUCAGAGUAUCAUGUUGCAGAACCCAGGACUAGGCCUUGUGAAUUGGUGAGACAACCAAGAGGUACUGUUGCAGCAGAAAGCUAGUGCAGACAAUCUAAGGAGAACUCGACAUGUGGAAUUUGAUAAUGCUGCUGAGUCCAUGCAGUAAGCUUCUUGCUUGGAUCACAAUGCAUUGAAGGGUCACUUGUGCAAAAACUGCAUCAAACUUUCCCUUGGAGUCACUAGGUGUGACAGGAACACAGAGUUUGGAGGGGUUUACAUCUGCAAAUGGAAAUGCUUCUAAAAGUUGCUCUCUAAGUUUGGAACUCUUUUAAGAACCUGACUGUGGUUCACAGCCGAUCUAUACUUGUAGUGGAAACACAUCUUGUACUCCUGCAGCAAGAGGCUCUGAACAGAGUCUGGAAUCCAUUCUAGUGCACAAAACCUGCUACAUUGCUGGAGGGAUUUCUGGUGGUUUCCCAAGGUGCCAUCUCUUAUCUUAACUUAGUGUGAUUUCUUAUGGACUCUUUUUAGAAAAUACACUGUGCUACCAGGAGAGGGAAGAAGUCAAACUAUAGCCCAAGGAGAUGGAGGGAUAUUUAUUUUUCACCAUGAGCUCAAGCUUGAAGGUUUGUUUUUUAAAAUUUUUUAAGACUCAUUUUAAAAGUAAAAUCACAAAAAUAUUUUGGAGCAUUGGAUCAGAUACUAUUUUAAAGGACAUUCAUGCCUAUGUUUAUGUCUCACUUAACAAAAGCAGCACUUGUAUUUCAUGGUUUUUAUAGAAUUGAGGGGGAGAUUAUCUGGUUAUCUUUUUUAUGAGGGAGAGCUGACAGUAUUUUAAGAGGCAUUGGUUUUGUAGUGUGAGCAUAAAUGCCAUGUAUCUGUUACUCACUGUCUUUAAAAUCCUUAUUGCCUUGAGUUUGGGGUUCUUACAUAGAAAGACUUGUGCGUGAUAAGCACAGACUAGAGUAACUAGAUUGGAAAUGUAACAAAACUCCCAAGAAAUAGGAUCACUAGGAUGUUGGAAGGAAGCAGUCCUAGUCAUGGCAUGCUGCUGAGUGCUGUCCAUCCUCAUGGAUCCACCUUAAAAGGGAAACUGUCAAUAAGGAGGGGCUGCUAAUUUUCAGUAUCUUAAAUACAAUGUUCCAAGUGUUAGGGGGACAGGGUUUUUAAUAAGAUUAGUCACUCAUCAGAGAGUUUGCAUAGGAUUUGCCUCCCUGUAUAAGGAAGGAUUUUUUUUUUCUUUUUGCCGAACAGGUUGAUGGAAUGUCUUUUCCUCACUAAAUACAGGUUACUCAAAAGCAAAUAUUGUGUUACAUAAGCAAGACAGCUAGACAUGGUGAAUCCUAGGCUGUUUGUAUGGCUAUUUCUAUUGCUAAUUAGCCUCUCUUGCUGGUAUGGGUAGGAAUUCCUGGGGUAGAAAAUGAACUGUCAAGGAGUUAAAUUGUUUAAAAAUAAGACUACAUAAAUCUGGCUACUAUUAAAAUCUACUGGACACAGAGAAAAUGAGGGAAACCAAAGAGGACAAUGUGUAUGUUGCAACUGUUUUGGGUAGUUUUGUCACCUACUCAGACUGUUUGGGUGCUGGACUGAAGGAGACUGCAGAUGCCAGGUGUCUGUCUUGUCAGUGUUUUUUGUUUCCUGUCAUCGUGCUCAGGUUGUUCAGUAAUACCAUAUCAUGUGAACAGAAUGUGUGGACAGGAACAGCUGCCACAGUAUGAACUGAAAGAACAGGUGUGCUUCAUGCCUACACACACUCGCUCUUCAAGGCUCAGUAUAGCAUGACCAUUUCACUGUUGAUAUCUCAGUGAAGCUGUCAGAUUUGCUGUAAUAAACAGAUUAUCAAAA